rnacentral:rRNA from 1 species
AGGAUGAACGCUGGCGGCGUGCUUAACACAGUGCAAGUCGAGCGGAAAGUAUUUAAAGCUUGCUUUUAAUACUUCAGCGGCGGACGGGUGAGUAACGGUGUGGGUAAACCUGCCAUAUACUGGGGAAUAAGUCAUUUGAAAAGAUGACUAAUACCGCAUGUGGUCACGAGAAGGCAUCUUCUUGUGAAGAAAGGGCUUCGGCUCGGUAUAUGAUGGACCCGCAUCUGAUUAGCUAGUUGGUGAGAUAACAGCUCACCAAGGCAACGAUCAGUAGCCGACCCGAGAGGGUGAUCGGCCACAUUGGGACUGAGACACGGCCCAAACUCCUACGGGAGGCAGCAGUGGGGAAUAUUGCACAAUGGGCGAAAGCCUGAAUGCAGCAACGCCGCGUGAAGGAAGAAGGGUUUCGGCUCGUAAACUUCUAUCAAUGGGGAAGAAAUAAAUGACGGUACCCAAAUAAGAAGCCCCGGCUAACUACGUGCCAGCAGCAGC